rnacentral:rRNA from 1 species
CGCCAGCCCGCUCAGAAACUCAAAUGAAUUGACGGGGCCCGCACAAGCGGUGGAGCAUGUGGUUUAAUUCGAUGAUACGCGAGGAACCUACCUGGGCUCGAACGUAAGAUGACUGUAGGUGAAAGCUUACAUCUCUUCGGAGCAUUUUACGAGGUGCUGCAUGGUUGUCGUCAGCUCGUGCCGUGAGGUGUCGGGUUAAGUCCCAUAACGAGCGCAACCCCUACCUUUAGUUGCCAUCAGGUUAAGCUGGGGACUCUAAAGGAACUGCCUACGCAAGUAGUGAGGAAGGCGGGGAUGACGUCAAAUCAGCACGGCCCUUACGUCCAGGGCUACACACGUGCUACAAUGGCCGAUACAGAGGGCAGCUACCUGGUGACAGGAUGCAAAUCUCCAAAGUCGGUCUCAGUUCGGAUCGGAGUCUGCAACCCGACUCCGUGAAGUUGGAUUCGCUAGUAAUCGCGCAUCAGCCAUGGCGCGGUGAAUACGUUCCCGGGCCUU